rnacentral:rRNA from 1 species
AGUGAACGCUGGCGGUAGGCCUAACACAUGCAAGUCGAACGGCAGCACAGUAAGAGCUUGCUCUUACGGGUGGCGAGUGGCGGACGGGUGAGGAAUACAUCGGAAUCUACUUUUUCGUGGGGGAUAACGUAGGGAAACUUACGCUAAUACCGCAUACGACCUACGGGUGAAAGCAGGGGAUCUUCGGACCUUGCGCGAUUGAAUGAGCCGAUGUCGGAUUAGCUAGUUGGCGGGGUAAAGGCCCACCAAGGCGACGAUCCGUAGCUGGUCUAAGAGGAUGAUCAGCCACACUGGAACUGAGACACGAUCCAGACUCCUACGGGAGGCAGCAGUGGGGAAUAUUGGACAAUGGGCGCAAGCCUGAUCCAGCCAUACCGCGUGGGUGAAGAAGGCCUUCGGGUUGUAAAGCCCUUUUGUUGGGAAAGAAAAGCAGCAGGUUAAUACCCCGCUGUUCUGACGGUACCCAAAGAAUAAGCACCGGCUAACUUCGUG